AUUGAACGCUGGCGGCAUGCCUUACACAUGCAAGUCGAACGGCAGCGCGGGCUUCGGCCUGGCGGCGAGUGGCGAACGGGUGAGUAACAUAUCGGAACGUGCCUUAGAGUGGGGGAUAACCAGUCGAAAGACUGGCUAAUACCGCAUACGAUCUACGGAUGAAAGUGGGGGAUCGCAAGACCUCAUGCUCAUAGAGCGGCCGAUAUCUGAUUAGCUAGUUGGUGGGGUAAAGGCCUACCAAGGCGACGAUCAGUAGCUGGUCUGAGAGGACGACCAGCCACACUGGGACUGAGACACGGCCCAGACUCCUACGGGAGGCAGCAGUGGGGAAUUUUGGACAAUGGGGGCAACCCUGAUCCAGCAAUGCCGCGUGUGUGAAGAAGGCCUUCGGGUUGUAAAGCACUUUUGUUCGGAAAGAAAUCGUCCUGGUUAAUACCUGGGAUGGAUGACGGUACCGGAAGAAUAAGCACCGGCUAACUACGUGCCAGCCGCCGCCGUAA
rnacentral:rRNA from 1 species